rnacentral:rRNA from 1 species
GCGAUAAGGGGACCUCGAGUGCCAGGUUACAAAUCUGGCUGUCGUGAUGCCUAAAAAGCAUUGCAUAGCAAGGGCCGGGCAAGACCGGUGCCAGCCGCCGCGGUAACACCGGCGGCUCGAGUGGUAACCGUUAUUAUUGGGUCUAAAGGGUCUGUAGCCGGCCGGAUAAGUCUCUUGAGAAAUCCAGCAGCUCAACUGUUGGGCUUUCAGGAGAUACUGUCUGGCUCGAGGCCGGGAGAGGUGAGAGGUACUUCAGGGGUAGGGGUGAAAUCUUGUAAUCCUUGAAGGACCACCAGUGGCGAAGGCGUCUCACCAGAACGGACCUGACGGCAAGGGACGAAAGCUAGGGGCACGAACCGGAUUAGAUACCCGGGUAGUCCUAGCCGUAAACGAUACUCGCUAGGUGUCGGCCACGGUGCGACCGUUGUCGGUGCCGUAGGGAAGCCGUGAAGCGAGC